AAAUUCCUGAGCCACCUGCUCCCAGCUCCAUUUCCCUUUCAAGCUGUGUGUUCUGCGGGGGCAGAGCGAGCUGCAAGGGCUCAUCUUUCAGGACAUGCCGCAAAGGACCUUUGAAGUCAUCCGCCCUGCUCUUGGCACCUGGCGCCUGGAGCUGAGCUCUUCCAAAAAUGACCCCUGCGCAUUCCCCUGGCCCUGACGCCCAUCCCAGGCAGUCGCGGUCCAGAGCAGGGCGGAGCAGCAGCGUGGGCGACAGCUGGGAGCACCGGGGUCUUGAGGGAGGACACUGCGUCAAACCAAGCCACCAGACCCUGUUCCCCCACCACACCGCCGCGUGACCCUGGCGCGAGGAACCGGGACCGGGCUUUUAGGCCUUGAAGGGCAGACCUGCUCCACCAAACAUUCCCAUCGUUGAUGGGGGGCCUCCCAAGCUGGGCUCCGGGGAUGCCCUUCCAGAGGGACCUGCCAGACUGAGCCCUUCCAUCAGCCAGACCUGAGAAUAAGAGCAUUUAGUGAGGAAAUUGCCUAAUCAUUUGCAGGCUAGGAGAAAAGACCGCACUGCAGAACAACAUGUUUUAAUAGGAAGCUACAAGACUUCUCAUCUUAAUGCUAACGACCGCCCAUUUAUAUUAAAUGGACCCCUGAGCGCCCUCCUUAAAUGCCCGUUUUCUUUUUGUCUCCUUGAGUUUGAACCUUUAAGACCACCUGGACGGUGGGGACAUCCUCCCUCAACGUGCAUUGCUCAUCUCGCCACGAGGGGGCGCUCCCAGAUCAGAGACAGGCGGCUGCCGCCCACCUGCCUCGGGCCGCCACCUCCUGUGCAGGCAUCAACUUUGUGCACCUGCCCAUAGGGCAGGGCCGAGGGUGGGGGAGGUCUCCUGCCCCAUUAAGACUAUGAAGUCCAGGUGCAGCCCUGAAGGCUAGAGCAAGGUCACUACCGAGGAAAAAGAUGUUCCUUGAGACUUCCCGGGAUCUCUGUGAAAACUCCGGACUUCUGGGAAGUCAAUGGGACUGCACUGAGGGCCUACUGUGUGCCAGGUUUUAUUCACUCCACAAACACUGAGGGCCUGCAGAGGCGACUGUUCAGGAAGGGGAGGAAGCUGAGGGUGAAGGAGGGAGUCUGACCCUCACACCAGUUUCCCUGGCAGCCAGCAGAGCGUUCCACAACGUGUUGCCCAGCCAGCAAGUGGCCUCAGCUGUGGACUAGCUUCAGCCUGCCCCCAGGGGAGCUCUGGAGUAGGAACUGUAGUACCACGAGG